AAUCCCGGCGGUCGCUUCGCGGGCAGCCGCGGCGGUGGAGCCGAGCUGGCGCAGGGGCAGGCGGCGGGCCCGCUCCCCUCCCCCCUCUGGCUCUCGGGAGACGGGCACGGGCGCGGGGCGCGCGCGCCGGGCUCUGCUGCUGCUGCUGGCGUCAGGGAAACCCCGGAGAAGCGAUCCGCCUCCUUCGCCUCCCGCCUCCCGCUCCUAACCCGCGGGAGAGAUUUCCCCUCACCUCCGCGGACCGCUUCAAAGGCUACGGAGACCUGAGGCAGAGCCGCACGGACUCCGGAGCUGCUCACGGAGGCCGCGAGCCUGCGCGCACCUCUCUGCCCCGGGCCUCUAUAUAGGGCCUCAGAGGAAACCGAAUGGCCUCCGGGAGGAAACCUGGGUUCGCAGAGGGUCGGCGCACGGAUUUAUGUGCUCGCCAAAAACAAUAGCAGGCCGCCCGGCUCUUGCUGGGGACCUGGCGCGGUUCCCGUGGGAGGGGGCCGAUCGCACUGCGCCGACCUCUGGCUUCCUCUCGGGCGGUACCCGACCCGCCGGGACCGUGGUGCCCCGCGUCCCCACUGAGACACUCGGCUCCGGCUCAGACAAAGGUGCGGGGAGUCCACUCCAUCGCGUGCCCAGGCCAGGACCCAACCCCGUGACUCAAUCUCCCCGGGGCUAAUUCUCUGCAGUCACUGCAGCCUUUUACCUAGGCCCUGGAUGGUCACUUUGCAGUUUUGUACUUGAGAUCCAAAGUGUCUCUCGACAGUAAACGCGGAGCACGCGGGAAUUGGUUUUUCAACCUCCUGGUACUACUGAGGAUCGAGCUACCCAAAGUUAGGAGAAAACAGUCUGUAGUCUGCUGGCGAGAGUGCCCAUACUGUUCUACCCUGGUUCUUCACUUAGUCAUGUUGGGUUGUUGAUAGGAGUUGGAUUUUUAUUUGCCCUUCUGCGUAUAGUCAAUAUCCAAGAUGUGUCCAGCAAAAAAAGACAUUUCUUUUUCUAACACACACCAUGCCUUCUCUAGUCACUUGCUAUUUUAUCUUAUUUUAUUCCAAAGUUCCAAAAUAAGGCAUGGAUUGACGUGGGGAAUGAAGAGCUCAGAAACCUCAUUAAAACAGUGAAAUUAGGAGCCCUCCCUUCCCCUGGCUCUUUGAAACAAUUGGUUUAAAAGAGCAAACACUCGCUUAUUGUUUUCCACUAGGGAAACCAUUUAAAUAUCUUGUUUUGGUUAGAGUUAUUAACCAGAAAAAAUAUUUCCUAAAUACCCCUGAUGACCUGUUAAAUUAGAAAUAGAUUACCUCCCAAUUACUUCACAAGUAUUUGCUUAAUUAACCUUUAAUAAUCACAUCGUUAUUCAGUUUUCUGAGAUAAUUGAUGAGAGAAGCUCUUUGGAAACUAUAAAUUGCCUUGCAAAUGUUAAUUUUGGACUAUCUAAGACAGAGGGACUUUUUCAUUAUAUUAAAAUUAUGUAUAAUGUGACUUACAAAAUGAAGCUUACAUUUAUCUCCAAUCUUGAAAAAAAUAAGAGUUAUAGCUAAUAAAAUAGCACACUGGUUUUCAUGUAUGACUUCUGUGAACCAUCUCAUUAAUUUAUCAGCCUACUGUAUAUAUUGAGCUUAUAUUAAAAAGUUUAAAGCACUUUCUGUAAAAUAGAAUGACUAAAUCAUAUAUUUCUGACUUGUGAUUAAAUCGAAAUUUUCAUAAAAGCCACUCUAUAAUAAACCACUAAUAGAUGAGCUGCGGACUAAAAAAAAAGGUGCAGAUUCUAAAUCAAUUGACGAGUUAGACUAUAAAGUAACGCAGGCUCAUACUUCAGAUCCUUCACUUCACUUCAAUGUUAAUGUCCUCGUUGACAGCGCUUUCAUAGAAUCAUUCUGAGUGAUUAUCCUGCCCUUUGUUUAGUAAGACAUCUGAGAAAAGGGUCUUCACCUCUUUAACAAAAUUUUCAACAAAUACCUAAGUCCACAUCUAUGCUUCUUAGCAAAAUAUUUUUAUGAAAGUCUAAGCUAUAAAUCUAUAAAGAGAUAUAAAGCUGUUGCUGAAAUUAACUUUUUUUUUUUUUCCUUUUCAGCGAAGUUAGAAAAUGAGGCCCAUUUUCAAGGAAUAGUGCACAAAGAAACUGUAGAGCAAAGAAAACAGAGUUGCCAUUGUAUGGGAGUGUAAGUUACCAAAGUGCGGGCCAAAAAUAACUAGACCAAAUAUUCUUGUGAAAUGUAUUCUAAGUAUGUUUUGAUAUAAAAAUUAAAUGAAAACUUAAAUCCU
rnacentral:lncRNA from 1 species